rnacentral:rRNA from 1 species
GACAGAGGGGGCAAGCGUUGCUCGGAAUCACUGGGCGUAAAGGGCUCGUAGGCGGCCAACUAAGUCGGAUGUGAAAUCCCCAGGCUUAACCUGGGAACUGCAUCCGAUACUGGAUGGCUUGAAUCCGGGAGAGGGAUGCAGAAUUCCAGGUGUAGCGGUGAAAUGCGUAGAUAUCUGGAGGAAUACCGGUGGCGAAGGCGGCAUCCUGGACCGACACUGACGCUGAGGAGCGAAAGCUAGGGGAGCAAACGGG